GCUAUGGUUUUGUGGUGAAGCAUUUGCUUUGCAUGCAGAGGGUCCCAGGUUCAAUCCCUGGGGUCUGCA